rnacentral:rRNA from 1 species
GUGGGGAAUAUUGGACAAUGGGGGCAACCCUGAUCCAGCCAUGCCGCGUGUGUGAAGAAGGUCUUAGGAUUGUAAAGCACUUUAAGUUGGGAGGAAGGGCAGUUAACUAAUACUUGACUGUUUUGACGUUACCGACAGAAUAAGCACCGGCUAACUUCGUGCCAGCAGCCGCGGUAAUACGAAGGGUGCAAGCGUUAAUCGGAAUUACUGGGCGUAAAGCGCGCGUAGGUGGUUCGUUAAGUUAGGAGUGAAAGCCCCGGGCUCAACCUGGGAAUUGCUUCUAAAACUGGCGAGCUAGAGUAUGGUAGAGGGUGGUGGAAUUUCCUGUGUAGCGGUGAAAUGCGUAGAUAUAGGAAGGAACAUCAGUGGCGAAGGCGACCACCUGGACUGAUACUGACACUGAGGUGCGAAAGCGUGGGGAGCAA